rnacentral:rRNA from 1 species
ACCGCAUGGUCCGAGUUUGAAAGAUGGCUUCGGCUAUCACUUUUGGAUGGUCCCGCGGCGUAUUAGCUAGAUGGUGGGGUAACGGCUCACCAUGGCAAUGAUACGUAGCCGACCUGAGAGGGUAAUCGGCCACAUUGGGACUGAGACACGGCCCAAACUCCUACGGGAGGCAGCAGUAGGGAAUCUUCCACAAUGGACGAAAGUCUGAUGGAGCAACGCCGCGUGAGUGAAGAAGGGUUUCGGCUCGUAAAACUCUGUUGUUAAAGAAGAACAUAUCUGAGAGUAACUGUUCAGGUAUUGACGGUAUUUAACCAGAAAGCCACGGCUAACUACGUGCCAGCAGCCGCGGUAAUACGUAGGUGGCAAGCGUUGUCCGGAUUUAUUGGGCGUAAAGCGAGCGCAGGCGGUUUUUUAAGUCUGAUGUGAAAGCCUUCGGCUCAACCGAAGAAGUGCAUCGGAAACUGGGAAACUUGAGUGCAGAAGAGGACAGUGGAACUCCAUGUGUAGCGGUGAAAUGCGUAGAUAUAUGGAAGAACACCAGUGGCGAAGGCGGCUGUCUGGUCUGUAACUGACGCUGAGGCUCGAAAGUAUGGGUAGCAAACAGGAUUAGAUACCCUGGUAGUCCAUACCGUAAACGAUGAAUGCUAAGUGUUGGAGGGUUUCCGCCCUUCAGUGCUGCAGCUAACGCAUUAAGCAUUCCGCCUGGGGAGUACGGCCGCAAGGCUGAAACUCAAAGGAAUUGACGGGGGCCCGCACAAGCGGUGGAGCAUGUGGUUUAAUUCGAAGCUACGCGAAGAACCUUACCAGGUCUUGACAUACUAUGCAAAUCUAAGAGAUUAGACGUUCCCUUCGGGGACAUGGAUACAGGUGGUGCAUGGUUGUCGUCAGCUCGUGUCGUGAGAUGUUGGGUUAAGUCCCGCAACGAGCGCAACCCUUAUUAUCAGUUGCCAGCAUUAAGUUGGGCACUCUGGUGAGACUGCCGGUGACAAACCGGAGGAAGGUGGGGAUGACGUCAAAUCAUCAUGCCCCUUAUGACCUGGGCUACACACGUGCUACAAUGGAUGGUACAACGAGUUGCGAACUCGCGAGAGUAAGCUAAUCUCUUAAAGCCAUUCUCAGUUCGGAUUGUAGGCUGCAACUCGCCUACAUGAAGUCGGAAUCGCUAGUAAUCGCGGAUCAGCAUGCCGCGGUGAAUACGUUCCCGGGCCUUGUACACACCGCCCGUCACACCAUGAGAGUUUGUAACACCCAAAGUCGGUGGGGUAACCUUUUAGGAACCAGCCGCCUAAGGUGGGACAGAUGAUUAGGGUGAAGUCGUAACAAGGUAGCCGUAGGAGAACCUGCGGCUG